rnacentral:ncRNA from 2 species
ACUAAUUAUCGAGAAUCUCAAAAAGAGAUAGCAACCUGCAAUAACGAGCAAGGUGCUAAAAUGAUAAGCCAAUACUUUGGAAAAAACGUUAAACCU